rnacentral:rRNA from 1 species
AACCAAGAUGGCUAAGCUAUAUAUUUUACGGUAAAAAGACAGUUAAAUAGUUUAUUUAUAAUAGCGUAUUAAAUACUUAUAAAGAGGUAAAAUUCAUAUAUUAGUAAAUAAUCUAAUUUUAGCUUUAUUAUUGAAGCUGUUACAGCCUAAGGGGAAACUGGGAUUAGAUACCCCAUUAUUUUAGGAUAUAAAUUAAUUAAGAUUUACCAGAGUACUAUGAAUUAGAAUAAGAGUUUAAAACUCAAAGGGCUUGGCGGUGUUUUAGACCUCUCAGGGGAACCUGUCUCAUAAUCGAUAAUCCACGUUAAACCUAACCUCUUUUUGCUUACAGCUUGUAUACCGUCGUCGUCGGGUAACUUUUAAAAAAUUAGGAGUUAGCAAAAAAACUAUAUAUGUUUUAACGUCAGAUCAAGGUGCAGUUUAUAAGGAGGUGAGGAUGGGUUACAAUUGUAAAAUUACAAUUACGGAGUAGUAAUCUGGAUUAUAGUAACUACGAAGGAGGACUUGAAAGUAAUAAAUAUUAUAUAAAUAUUCUGAAUAAGGCUCUGAAAUGUGC